rnacentral:rRNA from 1 species
UCGAGAAUCUUCCACAAUGGGCGAAAGCCUGAUGGAGCGACGUUACGUGAAUGAAGAAACUCUUCGGAGUUUAAAAUUCUUUUCUUCGGGAGGAACUAGCAAUAGUGACAGUACCGAAGGAAUAAGGGGGUCCUAAUUCUGUGCCAGCAGGAGCGGUAAUACAGAACCCCCGAGCGUUACCCGGAUUUACUGGGCGUAAAGGGUUCGUAGGUGGUUAAAUAAGUCUUUAGUUAAAACUCAUCGGCUUAACCUUUGAGGUGCUAAAGAUACUGUUUGACUAGAAGACGUUAGAGGCUAACGGAACCGACGGUGUAGGGGUGAAAUCCGUUGAUAUCGUCGGGAACACCAAAGGCGAAGGCAGUUAGCUGGGACGAUCUUGACACUGAGGAACGAAAGCGUGGGGAUCAAAAAGG